AUGUGUUUACGGUGCUCUGUGUCCUCUCUGUGUGUCCUCUCUGUGUGUCCUCUCUCUGUGUCCUUUCUGUGUGUCCUCUGUGUCCUCUCUGUGUGUCCUCUCUGUGUGUCCUCUCUGUGUCCUCUCUGUGUGUCCCUCUCUGUGUGUCCUCUCUGUGUCCUCUCUGUGUGUCCUCUCUGUGUGUCCUCUCUGUGUCCUCUCUGUGUCCUCUCUCUGUGUGUCCUCUCUCUGUGUUCCUCUUCUGUGGUCCUCUCUGUGUCCUCUCUGUGUCCUCUCUCUGUGGUGUCCCUCUCUCUGUGUCCUCUCUGUGUGUCCUCUGUGUGUCCUCUGUGUCCUCUCUCUCUGUGUCCUCUCUGUGUCCUCUCUCUGUGUGUCCUCUCUCUGUGUGUCUCUCUGUGUCCUCUCUGUGUCCUCUCUGUGUCCUCUCUGGUGUCCUCUUCUCUGUGUGUCCUCUCUCUGGGUCCUCGGUGUCUCUGUGUGUCCUCUGUGUCUCUCUCUCGUGUCCUCUCUGUGUGUCCUCUCUCUGUGUGUCCUCUCUCUGUGUGUCCUCUCUGUGUCCUCUCUCUGUGUCCUCUCUGUGUGUCCCUCUCUGUGUGUCCCUCUCUGUGUCUCUGUGUGUCCCUCUCUCGUGUGUCCUCUCCUGUGUGGUCUCUCUGUGUGUCCUCUCUGUGUGUCCUCUCUGUGUGUCCUCUCUGUGUGUCCUCUCUGUGUGUCCUCUCUGUGUGUCCUCUCUGUGUGUCCUCUCUCUGUGUCCUCUCUGUGUGUCCUCUCUGUGUGUCCUCUCUGUGUGUGUGUCCUCUCUGUGUGUCCUCUCUCUGUGUGUCCUCUCUGUGUGUCCUCUCUGUGUGUCCUCUCUCUGUGUGUCCUCUCUGUGUGUCCUCUCUGUGUGUCCUCUCUGUGUGUCCUCUCUGUGUGUCCUCUCUGUGUGUCCUCUCUCUGUGUGUCCUCUCUGUGUGUCCUCUCUCUGUGUGUCCUCUCUGUGUGUCCUCUCUGUGUGUCCUCUCUCUGUGUCCUCUCUGUGUGUCCUCUCUCGUGGUGUCCUCUCUCUGGUGUCCUCUCUGUGUGUCCCUCUCUGUGGUCCUCUCUGUGUGGUCCUCUCUGUGUGUCCUCUCUGUUGUCCCUCUUCUGUGUGUCCUCAUCUCCUGUGUGCCUCUCCUGUGUGUCCUCUCUUGUGUGUUCCUCUCUUCUCUGGGGUGUUCCUCUCUGUGGUGUCCUCUCUGUGUGUCCUCUCUGUGUUCCUCUCUGGUGUGUUCCUCCUCUCUGUGUUCCUCUACUCUUCUCGUGUGUCCUCUCUGUUGUGUCCUCCUCCUCUCUCUGUGUCCUCUCUGUUGUCCUCUCUGUGUGUCCUCUCUCUCUCAGCUGUGUCCAUCUCUGUGUGUCCUCUCAUGUGUGCCGCGUCUCCGCUCUCUGUGUCCUCCUCUGCUGUGUCUCUCUUGUCCUCUGUGUGUCCUCUCUUGUGUCCUCCUCUGUGGUCCUCUCUCCUCUCUCUGUGUCCUCUCUGUGUGUCCUCUCUGUGUGUCCUCUCUCCUCUCUCUGUGUCCUCUCUGUGUGUCCUCUCUGUGUGUCCUCUCUCCUCUCUCUGUGUCCUCUCUGUGUGUCCUCUCUGUGUGUCCUCUCUGUGUGUCCUCUCUGUGUGUCCUCUCUGUGUGUCCUCUCUGUGUGUCCUCUCUGUGUCCUCUCUGUGUGUCCUCUCUCUGUGUGUCCUCUCUCUGUGUCCUCUCUGUGUGUCCUCUCUGUGUCCUCUCUGUGUGUCCUCUCUCUGUGUGUCCUCUCUGUGUGUCCUCUCUGUGUGUCCUCUCUCUGUGUCCUCUCUCUGUGUGUCCUCUCUGUGUGUCCUCUCUGUGUGUCCUCUCUGUGUGUCCUCUCUGUGUCCUCUCUGUGUCCUCUCUGGUCCUUCUUGGGUGGUCCUUCUCUGUGUGUCCUCUCUUGUCUUCGUCUUGUGUCCUCAUCUGUGUGUCCCCUCUGGGAUCUCUCUCCUCUGUGUGUCCUCUCUUCUCUGUGUGUCCUCUCUGUGUGUCCUCUCUCCUCUCUCUGUGUCCUCUCUGUGUGUCCUCUCUGUGUGUCCUCUCUCCUCUCUCUGUGUCCUCUCUGUGUGUCCUCUCUGUGUGUCCUCUCUCCUCUCUCUGUGUCCUCUCUGUGUGUCCUCUCUGUGUGUCCUCUCUGUGUGUCCUCUCUGUGUCCCUCUGUGUGUCCUCUCUCUGUGUGUCCUCUCUGUGUCCUCUCUGUGUGUCCUCUCUCUGUGUCCUCCUGUGUGUCCUCUCUGUGUGUCCUCUCUGUGUCCUCUCUGUGUGUCCUCUCUCUGUGUGUCCUCUCUGUGUGUCCUCUCUGUGUGUCCUCUCUGUGUGUCCUCUCUCUGUGUGUCCUCUCUGUGUGUCCUCUCUGUGUGUCCUCUCUGUGUGUCCUCUGUGUCCUCUCUGUGUGUCCUCUCUCUGUGUCCUCUCUGUGUGUCCUCCUGUGUGUCUCUCUCUCUGUGUGUCC
rnacentral:lncRNA from 1 species